GAAAAUUUUAGUAAAUUAUAGUCAAUUUUUAUGCAAUGAAACUAUAUAGCUCUUUUUGUUAGAAAUUGUCUUACUAACUAAGCUGCUGGUGGUUCUGUGACGAAGUAGCUCCUGUUGGCUUCCCUUACACCGGGUCAGACACAGGACAUUAAUUAAGGCUGUGUGUGGUGUUUCUGAAAGGUGAGGAGACUGGGCAUUCUGUCUUUUACUCUACAGAUACAUCGUGGGAGACUCAAAGAUUAAAAUGUGGCCACUCACUGUGGAUCAGAAGCAGAAUCUCACAUCAUAACCCCAAAUGACCUGUUACUCACCAUGUGGCCCAGCUGUCUUCAAACUCACCAGCCUCCUGCCUUAGCCUUCUAAAUGCUUGGAUUACAGGCAUGACCCACCAUAACUGGCUUUGUUUUAGUUUCAGAGAAGAUGAAACUGAUGUGCGUCAAAAAGUAAACUACCCACAUUUUAACUGGGCACAUUCCUGUCAAUCUGAUGAGAAUCUAUUUCAUACCCUGCUUUAGCUGGUAGUCUGUCAAGGAAAUGAGCUGAACAUGUCUGUGUACAGCUUUUGUGCCAUCCCUGGAUGAGCGAGCUGUCUGCCUCUAUGUUCUCCACAAAAUGGAAUAUAGCUGUACACCCAAGCCAAGUUAUGGAGGCUGGGAAGACCUAGAAUGUGGCAUCACUAUUUGCUGAAAUUUUUAAUAUAAUGCCUCUUAGCCUGGUUUGGAGAAAACGUCACAGAGAGGCACCAUUUGUUGUGGUUUUACAUGAAAAUUUUCUGACCCUGAACCUGGUUUGAUGGAAAUCAUUUGCUGAGGUAAUUAUCUCAAAUUAACUACCAAGCUGAUGAAUCGCUUACUACUUAAAAGCUGUGAUGGGGAGAGGAGUAAUUGAGAGCGGCCUUGUUGGGAGGGGAUGUGGACAUUUUUUUUUUCAGCAGCCAAUCAACUUAGAGGUUUUUUUUUGUUUUGUUUUGUUUUGUUUUUGUCUUGUUUUUUUUUCUGUGUAGAAUCUGAAUGUAUUGUCACAAGGUGAACACCAG
rnacentral:lncRNA from 1 species